rnacentral:lncRNA from 1 species
AAAGUUUGCAAAUUUUCAUAUGAGCAUCUGGACAACUUUUUUAAAGACCUACAAAACGUUCAAAACACUGGUGAAAAAGAAGUACAGAAUAGAGAGAAAUUUUGAUCAGGCACUUACUCUGAAAAGCACAACACUGUGUCUGUGUCUCAGUGAUGUGGUCACACAACCAAAACAACCCAACUGUGGUUUUCUUCUCAGUAUCUUACACUGUGAAAGCCUUCUUGAUUUGGAACCUGUGACUUGCAGCAGAGUUCUAAACAAGAAUUGUAUAUUGCUUGUUUCAUGGCUCCUCUCACCAAUGAAUCCAAAUCCAUCAGAGUAGAGCUCCUCAGCAUAUUAGACCAGUUAUCCAGAAGUCAUCCCCAGAAGUCAUAUCCCCGUUUCUUUUACUUUCCAAAGGUACAAGAUCUCAAAAACUGUCAAGAUAUAUUUCACCAUUGUUAUUCUUGCUAUAUUAUUAUUAUGUCUUGGAGUUAUGAUCCUUGAAGUAAUUCAUGCUUCACAUGUGCUUACAAUGUUGAAUGAUGGGAUGAGAGAAAUCUUUUCCAUUUGAUAAAAUAAAACCACAAGGAGGGUUUGCUUGUGUCGUAUGGGUGCCCAUAAAGCAUUGAAAAUAUUAAGGAGCAAAGUGGAUUUGCAGGAUUUCUGUGGAUAUGUCACUAUGCUGUACCAUCUCAUCAACGCAAACAGAAAGUGUGGUGAUGCUUCUGAUGAAAAAGGAAAACCUGAUUUGACUUCCUGCUUUGAGCAGAUGAGAGGACAGAGUCAUUUGAAAUGGUCAUUGAGGAAGCAACCACAGAUUCAACAACAUAACAGAAAUCUUAGGUUGCUACAACAGAAACAGACUGGGUUCCUCUUGAGCUAUGCUUGUAAUUCCACUGUUUAGCUCUGAAUUCAAUGAGUUUGUAGGAAAACAGUCACACUACAAACCUUGCAGAAAAGAAAGCCUUCAAAAACUCUUACUUUCCAGUAGAAAACUAUAUAUGUUCUUAACUUUAUUCACUCAUUCUAGGAAGUUGCUUUAACACUAGAUAUUCACAUUCAGGCUGGUUUUUCCAGUUUUCUUUACCUAAAUCUUAAGUUCUACUUCUUGAAAAGAAUGUAAUGUGUAGAGAUGGCAUCUUAUCAGAAUGGAGAGAUGGUCACCUUCCUCACUUCUCUCUGCUAAUCUUCAUUGGUA